CUCCUUUCAUCCACUCUUUUCUUCUCCUCUCACUUUAAGCAGGCUUCCGGAAGUGAGCACUCGCUGACCAUAUAUGGACAUCCUGCUGAGAGCGAGAGACAUGCGCUCAAGCCUCCAGUCUCUCUCUCUGUCUCUCUCUCAAGGCAUUCAUCAUUCCGGCAGCUUUUGAAUGUUCUCCGUGAGUUUGUUCAGAUCUCAGACUCUCAGCGUCACACACUGAUGAAUACUGACUAUUGUACAGUUACCUUACUAGUAAAAGUCAAGUCACCUUUCUUUGUAUAGCACUUUUGCUACUGUAAAAGCAUAGUAAACAGUCAUGUGAGCUGCUUUUAAAAGUGAAAGAAUCUUCAUAGCCUUUUUUUACAUGCCAGAAACUGCAGUUUUACUGUAUUAUGAGCAGUUACUGUAGUAAAUCACAGCAUGCAGAGGAACUCUUGACAUGAUUGUGAAGCUCCAGAGAUAAUGAUGACAGACAGUUCUCUCAGUUCCCCUGCAGAGGGCGCUGCAGAUCUGUGUUCAUUCUGUGUGUGUGUGUGUGUGUGUGUGUGACCAAGAAACAUGGUCAUCUUCAGUAAGUUUACAGCUAAUUCUAGAGGAAAAUUGUUACAUGCCAAGUUUCAGAAUCAUUCUGUGAUUUGGCCUGUUCGUUGACUGAUGUCGUCUAGCUCAGUUUAUCUCCUGUGUUCAGAGCUUCAUCCUGAGAUGAAUAUGAGCAAAGAUCUGCAGGAUCUCAGAGCUCGUUACAUCAGACUCAUCAGUAUUCUACAGGUGUGUGUGUGUGUGUGUGUGUGUGUGUGUGUGUGUGUGUGUGUGUGUGUGUACAGGUUUUUCUGCACUGGUGGGGACUUAAACCUGAAUACACACAGACUCAUGGGGACUUCUGGGGUCCUAAAUUGAGGUCUCCAUGGGUACAGAAGCUUAUAAAUCAUACAGAAUGAGUUUUUUGAGAUUGUAAAAAUGCAGAAAGUUUUCUGUAAGGGGUAGGGUUAGGUUUAGGGUUGGUGUAGGGCAAUAGAAAAUACAGUUUGUACAGUAUAAAAACCAUUAGGCCUUUGGAGAGUCCCCGUAAACCACAAAUGCAAGUAUGUGUGUGUGUGUGUGUGUGUGUGUGUGUGUGUGUGUUUCACAGCUUCAGUUGGUCAUGAUGCUGCUAUUGUGUUUAAAUGAAGACAUUAGCUGUAAAUAGCUCACUGUGAUUCACACACACACACAGUGACGACACACACGUGUGCUGACGGUAGCUCAGGGCCUCCGGUGGGCGACGCCGUGGGACUCUCGCAGAUUUAUGAAUAAAAGUCAGUUCCUACUGUAAGUCUGUGCUACUGAAACAACAAGGCAC
ensembl:lncRNA